GUGUGUGUGUUUGUGUUCUUGUGUGAAUCAACAAUUGAAGGAGAAAAGAAGGAAGAGAAAUUGCAUGUAUAAUAUGUGAUUUUAGAAGUGUUCAUCACCUUCUAAGCAUCAAGUAAGAAUGGCAUGGAUUGAAAGACAAUGGGUUAAACGAAUGGAAUGGAUGACAACACUUCUACGGGCAAAGGGGAAAAUACCGAAUUACUACAGCGGCACAAAGUGAAAACAGAAAGUUUAUGACACUUACGCAAUACUUGUGAAUUUACGAGAACCUAUUGGAUGUGAUUUAUCAGCAUUAUAAUCCUCAAUGUGUGUGUUUGUAUAUAUAUAUAUAUAUAUAUAUAUAUAUAUAUAUAUUUACAUGAGUU
rnacentral:lncRNA from 1 species